UACAGAGGGUGCAAACGUUGUUCGGAAUUACUGGGCGUAAAGCGCGUGUAGGCGGUACGUUAAGUCGACUGUGAAAGCCCACGGCUCAACCGUGGAAGCGCAGUCGAAACUGGCGAACUUGAGUCCCGGAGAGGAUGGUGGAAUUCCCAGUGUAGAGGUGAAAUUCGUAGAUAUUGGGAGGAACACCGGUGGCGAAGGCGGCCAUCUGGACGGGUACUGACGCUGAGACGCGAAAGCGUGGGUAGCAAACAGG
rnacentral:misc_RNA from 1 species